GAUGAACGCUGGCGGCGUGCCUAAUACAUGCCAGUCGAGCGAACGGACGAGAAGCUUGCUUCUCUGAUGUUAGCGGCGGACGGGUGAGUAACACGUGGAUAACCUACCUAUAAGACUGGGAUAACUUCGGGAAACCGGAGCUAAUACCGGAUAAUAUUUUGAACCGCAUGGUUCAAAAGUAAAAGACGGUCUUGCUGUCACUUAUAGAUGGAUCCGCGCUGCAUUAGCUAGUUGGUAAGGUAACGGCUUACCAAGGCAACGAUGCAUAGCCGACCUGAGAGGGUGAUCGGCCACACUGGAACUGAGACACGGUCCAGACUCCGACGGGAGGCAGCAGUAGGGAAUCUUCCGCAAUGGGCGAAAGCCUGACGGAGCAACGCCGCGUGAGUGAUGAAGGUCUUCGGAUCGUAAAACUCUGUUAUUAGGGAAGAACAUAUGUGUAAGUAACUGUGCACAUCUUGACGGUACAUAAUCAGAAAGCCACGGCUAACUACGUG
rnacentral:rRNA from 1 species